CCCUGCGGGCUGGGCCCCUUCUCCCUCCCGCCUCCCUCUCCCCCUGUGCCGCGGGCCCCUAGGGGAUAGUAGCCCUGCGGAGUCCGGGCCUUCUCUCGGGGAGGCUGGGGGGCGGCGGGACGGGUCGGCCUUUCCGGGCACCUCUGGAGUGCCCGGGGACGGAGCCGUGGGAUUGUCCCACGGCCGCCGUGUGCCAGGGAAGAGGCGCCCGCCGCCUGCCCCGCUUCCCCUUCUGCUGCCUGUGAGCAGGGCCCGGGGGGAGACAGGCGAGGAGGUUCCUCGGCGGCGGCUGCUGCGCGUUAUGGCCUGGGAUCGCUGUGUCUGGGUGACUCGGGCUCCCGGGGGGUAAAUCAUCGGGAGCAUUGUUUUGAAGAAUGUCUGGAAGUUUCUACUUCGUGAUAGUUGGUCAUCAUGAUAAUCCCAUAUUUGAAAUGGAGUUUCUGCCUCCUGGAAAAGUAGAGUCAAAGGAUGAUCAUCGCCAUCUCAACCAGUUCAUUGCCCAUGCUGCUCUUGACCUCGUAGAUGAGAACAUGUGGCUUUCUAACAACAUGUAUUUGAAGACUGUGGACAAGUUUAAUGAAUGGUUUGUUUCUGCUUUUGUCACAGCUGGACAUAUCCUUCCCUAUUCUCUUUCCUUAUAUUUAUGUAUGAAAAGCCUUUUUCCAGAAAGAGGUAAGUUAGAUAAAGUAAGUUUGGAACAGAUUUCUCUGGCUAUUUGCUAUUAUUGUUAGAGUCAUCAGCUUCAGGAAAAACUAUAUUGGGAGGCACAGCAGAUGGGAACAAUUGGAAAGAUGGAUUAUUACCUUUGUAGGAGCCAAAAUAGCAUCUUGAAAUGUGGUACAUGGAGUAAAGAGCUAUGAGAGGCUCUGAGCAAGCUUUUAUGAUUGUCCCCACCUUGCUGGAGAGGAGAUGUUGCAGUGAACAUGCCUGGUGUCAGUCACUCUAAUGGUGAAAGUGCAGUGAGGCUUGAUACUAUGUACAGGUAGUCCUAGAACUGUUUGUUGAGAAACAUUUGUUACACAUGGCAAGUAACAUUGAAUGACAUUUUAACUUUAGGAGUACAUGGCUGAAGUGCAGGGGGCAUCAUCCAUGUUCAGAAUUACAUUGUUUUAAAAAAGAAACCUUGGAUGGAGAGGUGAUUUUUUUUCAAAUAGGGAGAUGUUAAAAUAUAAAGGUAAUGCUUUCCAAAUUUCAUUGCUUCAAUGUGGAGACCCUGGGGGGCAUCCCUUGGGUUGGGGAAACAGAAGAAGCUUCCCUCAAAAAGCCGAUAAGCCCCUUGGCUCCUUCCCCUGUUCCUGUGUCAGUUCCUGUGUCCCUGAGCCACUCCUUCCCUAUUCCCUGAUUGGCCCUUAUCUUUGUACUGCCCCAAGACCAGGGUCACCCCGGGCCCUUUGAGACAGAGAAACCUGCACCCUCCAUGUGUGUGUGCCUGGGACUCUGAACAUCUCACUGUGUGGCUGAAUUAAACAUCUGUGGAUUCCAUGCAAAGGCCCUUUCUGCUUCUUUACCCUGGACUUUACUAGCAGCUAUUCAGGCUGCAACACUUCAAUUAAUUUUUAAAUGCUUCCUCCUAUGAGUCACUGCUAUUUCAUGUAUAGCUAAGCAUUUUAGAUAUACAUUGAAUCAGGUGUAAAUGCUUAUCUCAGGAUAUUGUCUCUUUUCUUUGUGAAAGUUUUAUUCUCCUUAAUUAUUGUACAUAUGAGAUUUAUAAUGCUUCAUGAUGUAAGGCAAGAAGAUGGAAUUAAGAACUUCUUUACUGAUGUAUAUGAGUUGUAUAUAAAGUUUGCAAUGAAUCCAUUUUAUGAACUCAAUACUCCUAUUCGAUCCACUGCCUUUGAAAGGAAAGUCCAGUUCCUUGGGAAGAAACACCUUUUAAGCUGAAUAAAUAAAUCUCCUGAGUGAGUGCUUUUUCCCUGCUUUCCUGAUUGUUUGAACUGUACUUCGUCUGGUUAGUCCCCUGCAUGUUUUGUAUUCAUCUUCUGAAGACUAAUCGGAUGCUGAAGCAGCUUUUUCUUUUGCUGAUAUAGAUAAGAACAGCCAAGCUUCUCUGGUUAAAAAGGUUUAUCUCGAGAAGUUUCCUUUUAUGUGAUAUGAAAAUGAAGUUUUAAACUGUCAGAGGCUGCAGAGGUACAAAAGAAAAAACUGGGACAUUAUGUGUUAAUGCAUAUGCAAAGUGUAAGCCUCUGACAUAGGGUGGGAGGAAAUCAGACCUAAAUGCAAAAGUUGUCACCAGUCAUCUGGUUUAAUAUGAGCAAAAGGGAAUUCUUGACUGUUUGGCCUAAGUGCUUAAUUUUAUUACAAACUUCCCUAGUUGUAUUCCUUCAGUAGAGAACUCACUCUGCAGACUAACUAGACUAACAUUACACACUGUGGUAGUAAAUCAAGCCUUUAUUUAUUAAUGUGUAAUUGUAUGUAUAUAAAGUACUCAAUAAAAAAUGGAUAGAUCAGAAAAGCUGUCUCCAGUACUUCAAGAAAUUUUGAGGAAAACCCCUUAAGUUUAAAAGUGUGUACUUUCAAAUUUUCUAUGCAUUUAGUGCAAUACACAUUUAGCUGCAGUGUUGCAUCAAUGAAAGAAGUAGACCAGAUCAGCCAGAUCUGCUCUGACAUUAAUUCUAAUUCACACAUGAAAAAAAACCCAAACUAAAUUUACAUGUUUAAACCCAUGGGUUUUUUUUUUCCAUUAUUUCUGCAACUGCUGAAGCUUUCUUUUUGUAAAUUAGUUUAGAGGAGGAUCUUUGAACCAUGAAACUGUAUUUGGUGACGUUUCAGAAAGGCAUUAUUUGGCCUGGCUCCUAUUCCAUUGCAAAAUCUUUUAGGAACCAUUUUGCAAAACUUAACAUCAUUCCAAACCAGUAAUUUUUAAAUAGAUCAUUUGGCAUAUAUAUACACCUAAUGCUUUGCUUGGGAUUAAAAUCUUAAGUAUUCUGUUUCUUUAUGCAGCAAAUCUGCAUAAGCUAUCUUGUACUUUUUUUUUCAAUGUCUGAAAAGCAAUUUCCAAAGGAAGUGGCAUGCUGUUCUAAGAAGUAUUUCGCAUAGUCUGUAUAAUUAAGGGUACCACGUGUGUAUGUGCUGUAAGUCAGUCAUUAUUUCUGCACUUACUGCUAAGCUGUCACUGUAAAAUGUUCCAUGAGAAAAAAGAACAUGAUAAAGAGGUUGCAAUAUUUACCUUAAAUAAAACAUGAAGUCUUGUAGUAUGGA